rnacentral:lncRNA from 1 species
UACUAAAAUUGCAAAAUUAGACAUUAUGUAGUAAAAUGUUUUACAGUGUGCAAACACAUAUCAAUACAACAAAUACAUAACAAAGGGAAAGUGCAGAAGUUCAGAAAAAUGUUUGCACCAGGAUUAUCACCCUUUCUAAAAUUGUACACACAGUUGAGAUUAUCUCCUCUCUAAAAUUGGUCACAGAUGAUAUUAUCUCCCCUCUUAAAUUGUACACACAGCUGAGAUUAUCUUCCCUUCUAAAAUUGUACACGAUUAUCUUCCUUCUAAAAUUGUACACAUUUGACAUUAUCUCCCCUCUAAAAUUGUAGACACAUUUGAGAUUAUCUCCCCUCUAAAAUUG